AGCGAACGCUGGCGGCAGGCUUAACACAUGCAAGCCGAACGGGCACUUCGGUGCUAGUGGCAGACGGGAGAGUAACACGCGGGAACGUACCUUUCGGUUCGGAAUAAUUCAGGGAAACUUGGACUAAUACCGGCUACGCCCUUCGGGGGAAAGAUUUAUCGCCGAAAGAACGGCCCGCGGCUGAUGAGUUAGCUGGCGAGGUAAAGGCUCACCAAGGCGACGAUCAGUAGCUGGUCUGAGAGGAUGAUCAGCCACAUUGGGACUGAGACACUGCCCAAACUCCUACGGGAGGCAGCAGUGGGGAAUAUUGGACAAUGGGCGCAAGCCUGAUCCAGCCAUGCCGCGUGAGUGAUGAAGGCCUUAGGGUUGUAAAGCUCUUUUGUCCGGGAAGAUAAUGACUGUACCGGAAGAAUAAGCCCCGGCUAACUUCGUGCCAGCCGCCGCCGUAAUAC
rnacentral:rRNA from 1 species